rnacentral:rRNA from 1 species
UGGGGAAUCUUGCGCAAUGGGCGAAAGCCUGACGCAGCGACGCCGCGUGCGGGAUGAAGGCCUUCGGGUCGUAAACCGCUUUCAGCAGGGACGAGGCCGUAAGGUGACGGUACCUGCAGAAGAAGCCCCGGCUAACUACGUGCCAGCAGCCGCGGUAAUACGUAGGGGGCAAGCGUUAUCCGGAUUCAUUGGGCGUAAAGCGCUCGUAGGCGGCCUGUUAGGUCGGGAGUUAAAUCCGGGGGCUCAACCCCCGCACGCUCCCGAUACCGGCAGGCUUGAGUUUGGUAGGGGAAGGUGGAAUUCCGAGUGUAGCGGUGGAAUGCGCAGAUAUUCGGAAGAACACCGAUGGCGAAGGCAGCCUUCUGGGCCAAUACUGACGCUGAGGAGCGAAAGCUAGGGGAGCGAACAGGAUUAGAUACCCUGGUA